rnacentral:rRNA from 1 species
AGAGUUUGAUCAUGGCUCAGGAUGAACGCUGGCGGCGUGCUUAACACAUGCAAGUCGAACGAAGCACUUUAUUUGAUUUCCUUCGGGACUGAUUAUUUUGUGACUGAGUGGCGGACGGGUGAGUAACGCGUGGGUAACCUGCCUUGUACAGGGGGAUAACAGUUGGAAACGGCUGCUAAUACCGCAUAAGCGCACGGCAUCGCAUGAUGCAGUGUGAAAAACUCCGGUGGUAUAAGAUGGACCCGCGUUGGAUUAGCUAGUUGGUGAGGUAACGGCCCACCAAGGCGACGAUCCAUAGCCGACCUGAGAGGGUGACCGGCCACAUUGGGACUGAGACACGGCCCAAACUCCUACGGGAGGCAGCAG